CGGGGGCGGGGAGUGGGGGCACGCUAUUGCCCACGUCCAAUGGGAGGGUGCGCUUCCCGGCCCCGGUCCGCUGGGCCUGCUGGGGGUUGUGGUUUGGCCCUUAGCCCACCGCCGCUCGUCUUCUUUCGCUCUUAAGAGUGUGAGCAAAGCGUGCAGUCUGUGGGUGGCUUGGCUUUCUCGAGAUUUGCUCCCCGCCAGAGUGCGGACAGGACCUUGGCCUGCCUAGCUUAAAAAGGACCUAUUCUCCGUUAAUGUGAAGGAAAUGGAAGGGAGCCUUUUCCGCCCUAAGCCUUCCGGGGCAGGAGUUUGUGGCCCACACAAGAGCCUGGCUCCCGACCCUCCCAUAAGAUAGAGGAGCAGUAAUCACUCGCUCGUCCUCUUUUCCUUCUGAUGGGUUUUCAAAUUAGGCAUUCCCAGCUCAAGAAUAUCACUGGUGGGUAGUAGUAAUUUGUCCUUCAAAGAGGUAAACAUAUGAAGGAACUAAUUAUUUUUGCCUUAUGCCCACUCUCUUUGGGCAAUAAUAAUUGCAACCCUUCAUCACAACUCUGCUCCUGGCCUUGUGCUGACCCUUCAUUAUCUGAUUUAAUCUUCAGUGCUAUUCACAGAUACACUGGUGGGUAUCAUCUGUCUUAAAGGUUUAGUAGCGCUACCUAUAAAGGAAAUUUCACUCAGUUUCCAGGAGGCCUUGCUAGCUCACGGGCCAUAAAUCUGGCCAAGAGUGAUUUGAGCAAGGUCCCAGAGGAACUGGAAGGUAUCUGCAGAUCAACAAUGUGGGAAACGGGGCAGCACAGCUUUCAGUGUGCAGCUCACGUCCAGAAUCUUCUCACAGCUAAUGUUCUUCAAAUGGCCAGCUCCAAGCUUCCAAGUGGAUUGUACAUUGUUGAAAUGCUUGCUGAUUCCAGCUACCCAGUAUCCUCAGACAGUGGCCCCUCAGGGAAGGUAACCUGAUUAUAGAGCCUGAAUUCAACAUCAUGGAAUCAAAGAAGUCUGCUGCAAGAAAAGCCUAUAAAUUAUUCUAAAAUAAAGUAAUCCUUAUCUGUAGAGAAAAGAGAUUGUUGGGUUAAGUAGUCCUUAAAGUUACUUUUCCACUUUUCAGGCACCUUGUCUGGAAGUCAUUCAUUCAAGAACUUCAUGAAGCACCUGCUCUGUGCCAGGCACUGGAUCCGGUGCUGGCGUUACAGGAGCUUGAACAAGGCUGAUAAACUUUGCUGCUCUGGUGGCGAUGGGAGUGGGAAUGGCUAUCGAAGACAGGUAAAUAGGAUCCCUCUGGCUUCUGUGUGGAGAAUAGGCUGAAGGUGAAAAGGGCAGAAGCAGGCCAGCUGGUUAAGAGACUGCCUGGAAAGAUGGAAGAAUGUGGGAAGAGCAAUUUUGGCAGGAAGAGGAGCAGCUCAGUUUUCGGAGGGGGAAACUGCUGAAGAUGCUGCAAGAGUCAUUGAAGAAUUUGCCCUGAGUCACACCAGCAAGACAGCAACAAGGCUGGAACAGAUCUCAGCCUCUGUAUACAAUCGGGCCUUUUCACUUCAGCUGCAACCUCUUCACAGCACCUCAGGUUCUGAAAUGUCCACUCCAGUUACGGGAAAAAAAAAAAAAAAAGGGAAUCUGUGGAAGAACAGAGGUCUUUUACCUUUGUGCUUCCUCCUGGUGACUCAGAUGGUUAAGAAUCUGCCUGCAAUGCGGGAGGGCCAGGUUUGAUCCCUGGGUGGGGAAGAUCCCCUGGAGAGAGGAAUGGCAACCCACUCCAGUAUUCUUGCCUGGUGAAUUCCAUGGACAGAGGAGCCUGGUGGGCUGUGGUCCAUAGGGUCGCAAAGAGUCAGAUAUAACUGAGCGGGUAACACUUAGUUACUUACAACUAGUCCUCAUUACUGCUGCUGUAGAGAUGACACACUGGGUCCAUGCAAAUCACAGGCCUGGACAAAACAGAAAGCUGAGAUUUUAAGGAGCCCCUGACCUGGAUGUGCAGGGUAGCCUGGUGUUUGUGGCCAAGCCCAAGGCUUAAAGCAGUGUCAUACAGUGCCACAGAGCCAUCACAGAAUUGACAAGUGCUAUUAUCCCAAAAGACCUAGAUUUAUUUCUUUGUAAUUCUAUCAGCAAAAGUGACAUUUAGGAAGGGUUGUCCCAAUAGUCAAAUAUAGGUCAAUAGGUAGAUUACAACAGAGGCUUUUUUUUUAAGAGAAUUAUAUUUUUAAUAUCUGUUUAUUUUAUUUGACUGUGCCAGUUCUUAGUCGUGGCACAUGGAUCUUUGAUCUUUGUUGCAGUAUGCAGGAUCUUUAGUUUCAGCAUGUGGUAUCUAGUUCCCUAACCAGGGAUUGAACCUGGGCUCCCUACAUUGGGAGCUCAGAAUCUUAGCCACUGGACCGCUAGGGAAGUCCAUUGAGUGACGUACGCUCAAGUGUUAGACGCUCAUGGGGUAUAUGGUCACUUGCUUGGCUAAGGAGAUACAAUACUUCCAAGUGACAGUGGUUCUAUCUGAUAGAGCUGAUGUGCUUGAAAGCAAGAGUGAGACUCAAAGAAACCCUGAGGUCACACGGAGACGGUUGUGGUUGGUUGGGUAUGUUAGAAAUCUUUAAAUUUGUCUUCUUUGGGGAUCAAUUCUAUGGGCUGCAACUUCUGGUUAAUGGAAUGUAGUCAGCAUAUUUCUGUUCAGAUCAGAGACUAUGAGAUCUUCUUGGCUUAUACUCUUGUAAUAUGGCAGGAUUAAUGAGAGUAAAACUAUAUCAGUGAUACCUACUUUAAGGGAGGAAGCCUGUCCUCCUGAGCCAAUGAGGAGAAAAAUUACUGAGUGACCUGUGAAGACUUGGAAAGACGCCUCUUCUUUCCUUUCCAGGGGAACAGAUAGUUAAGAAAUCGGGCAUUUUCUCACAUAUUCUUAACUGAAAGGGGGGAGAACGCUUCCCUUAAACUGCGUGCAUGGGUUUAAUAGCCCUGAGCAAAGCCAUCUCUCGUAAGAGGCCACAGCUUUGUCACAGUGCCCGUCACAGUCCAGUUUUGGAUGUGGGCUCAAAGUGGCAGCUGUCUAAGACUGUGAGAAAAGCCCAGGGGGCAGGGCUCCCCCAGUUCCAGUGUAGGACUGAGAUGGAGACAGGACACUUGCAUUAGGGUGCUUGGAGCAACAGGGAUAAUCAGAGGAGUGACUUCGGACUUUUUCCUUCAUCCCUAAACUGUUGGGUGAAUUAACCAUGAGGCUAUUAAGUAAUUUAAUUGCUUCAGAGACACAUGAGUAGUAUCGUUGUUAAUCCCUAAUUUGAUUUCUUUAAAGUACUCUCCAAAAAUAAAAUUG